rnacentral:rRNA from 1 species
UUCGAGUGGCGGACGGGUGAGUAACGCGUGGGUAACCUGCCUUACACAGGGGAUAACACCUGGAAACAGGUGCUAAUACCGCAUAAGCGCACAGGGCCGCAUGGCCCGGUGUGAAAAACUCCGGUGGUGUAAGAUGGACCCGCGUCUGAUUAGCUUGUUGGCGGGGUAGGGGCCCACCAAGGCGACGAUCAGUAGCCGGCCUGAGAGGGUGGACGGCCACAUUGGGACUGAGACACGGCCCAAACUCCUACGGGAGGCAGCAG